UACGAAGGGGGCUAGCGUUGCUCGGAAUCACUGGGCGUAAAGCGCACGUAGGCGGCUUUUUAAGUCAGGGGUGAAAUCCUGGAGCUCAACUCCAGAACUGCCUUUGAUACUGAGAAGCUUGAGUCCGGGAGAGGUGAGUGGAACUGCGAGUGUAGAGGUGAAAUUCGUAGAUAUUCGCAAGAACACCAGUGGCGAAGGCGGACUCACUGGCCCGAUACUGACGCUGAGGCACGAAAGCGUGGG
rnacentral:rRNA from 1 species